UCUUAAGGGAUCUCAAGAGGUUGUUCUGGGGAGAGAAUACCAGUACGCCAAGGCUCUGAAGAGGGGUGGGGUGGAGCUAGGGUCUGGGGAAAAGCAGCUGCUCCCAGAGCAAAGGAGCAAAGCUUCAUGGGAAUGGUUUUAUGGUGAGGCUCUGAGUGUCAGUUAUGUAACCUGUGUUCCCAGAGGCACCAGCCUCCCUCAGGAGCAGGAACAAUGCCUGCACGGUACCUCCUUCCGUCUCCAAGCCAUUAGGGUUAGUCCUGUUUUACUGAGACAUGAUCUCCCUUAUGUAGCCCAGUUUGGUCUGGAACUCAUGAUCAUGAUCCUCCUGCCUCAGCUUUUUGAGUAAUAUUAUUGCAAGGAAAAGUGCUGUGCCCAAGCUUCGAGCUUCGUUUUAAAACUAUUCACUGUAGCAAGGUUUUGGUUUUGUUCCCCAUAUUUCUUUCUUUGUUUCUUUCUUUCCCCCAGAAAGAGUCUCACUAUGUAGCCCUUGCUGUCCCGGAACUCAUUAUGCAGACCAGGCUGGCCUUGCCUCACAGAGCUCCACCUGCUUCUGUCUCAUGAGUGUAGGGAUUAAAGGCCUGCCCUACGCUUUGCGUUUUUGAGCCCUGAUAAUAAACGUUGACGGAGUGCUCUAAAGGGCCCUGUUCUCUUCCACGAUCUUUGUAUAUAAGUCCUCUCUAAUGGGUUUUUGUUUAAUCUUGAAUUAAUUUUUGCCUCUGUUAUGAUGUGCAGGCCAUCUAUUAUGUCAGUACUACAUUGAGAAGACCUCUUUCUCCUACUGAGUCACCAGUGAUACCCUUCUGGUCUAUCCCAUAGCCAUACAGGUGUGGAUCUGUAUCUGGACUCUGUUCUGUUCCACAAGUCUGUCCGUCCAUGUACUUGUAACAUGCACCUCAGAAAUCCAUUAUGCUAAUAUUCAAGUACUAAAGGCAGGGAAGGUUUAUUAUAAUGGUCUCCCUCCAGGUCUCUUAUUCUUCCAAGAAAAAAAGAGACUUUCUGGAGAAACGAGCAUUCUUGAAAAACAUCUGAGCCCAUGAAUACCCUGAAUGAGGGCUAUCACAGGGGUGAGGUGGGGUGGGAUGGAGGAUGGAGAUGGGGGUGGGGGAGGAUUUGGGGAUGGGGGGGGUGAGUUCACAAUUAGAACCAACUAUCUAGUGAGCUCUCCCUGAGAUACAUAACAACUUGACUUGAGUGAGCUAAUCCACUUGCAGAUUAUUGAAAACAAAUGGUAUUGUUCAUUUUGCUGCCAGGCUAUAUGUAGAAUUCUACAAGUUCUAGGUAAUAAAAGCUGGCAUCAUUUCCAUGCUGGGUGGGUGGGCAGGCCAGAGCAUGGCUGUUAGCAACAGUUCCUGGCAAAACACUGACAAAAAAAAAAAAAAAAACCUUGGUCAUUGCAAAUGCCCUUGUUGCACCAAGGUUAGACUCAGUGACACAGUGAAGAGUUUAAUGAACAGCAUCUAAAUGAAAACUAUCACCCUACGAAAGGGCCUUCAGACCUGACAUGCACUCUUUUGCAAAGGACAGCCCUAUCAAUUAACGACUAAUUGAUGAGGCCAUCCGUAGAUCUCACAGUAGGCGGAGCAGGCUCUUUCCCAUUGACUUUGUGUUGGUAGAGUCCUCAGGUGUUCAGAAUCCUCCCCAUUCACACUGCCCAGAGCUGAUACCCAUGGUGUGUCUACCUCUCAGGUUGCCUGGGUCUUGGCUGCUUCCUGCUCUGGGGACUUCCGGUAACAAGCAGGAAGAGGUAAAGAGGCAUAGCCCAUUCCUCACCCCAAUGGUGGAGACUGAAUUUAGGGGCUUAUACAUGCUAACCAAGCACUCUACCACCGGGCUAUACUCCUGACACCUUUUUAACUUUUAACCUGGUGACAGGGUCUGAUUCAGAUGUCCAGACUAGACUCAAACUCACUGUAUAACCCAGGCGUGCCUCAAACCCAUCCUCCUGCCUGAACUUCCUUCACAGCUGGGACUACAAACAUGCAUUAUUAACGUGGGUGGGAGGCUCUUGGCAAAGGCAGAAUGUGGGUCUUUAUAGGAAGAGGAGUGGAGGGGAAGAUGAGCGGAGGGGGUGAGAAGAGACACAGAAAGGACUUCCCGCUGACUCAGGGACACCAACAGGGUCCAGGUCAUGAGUGCAAGGAGAAGAUGUCACAGAACUGCUGGCUGAUGGGACAGCCCACUCAUCCCCCAGGCACAAAGGCCCUCACUGCAUAUCUUCCACUGGAACGCAACACCACUGCCAACUGUGUAUCCCAGAGUUCCGUUCCCAAAGGUCUUGUUCUGCUUCAGCUCAAAUGUCUUUAUUAUCUUUAUCAAAGAACUCCUCUUUCCACUUUCUUCCAAGAAAGUCAGAGGAAAUUCAGAAUGUAUUUCUGUUCCAAGUGAUAAAGACAUGAGAAAGAAAGAAAGAAAGAAAGAAAGAAAGAAAGAAGGAAAGGAAGAAAGAAGGAAGGAAGGAAAAAAUAGAUAGACUUUAAUUCACCCUCAGCCGGCGUUUUGAUGCAAAAUUCUGAAAAUCAAAUCUCAAAGCCAGUUCAUGAGUCAUGAUAUUGGCAUCUAAGUUAUCUUCUGUGUCUAACUAAAGAGGAAAAUUCCAGAUUUUUUUAAUGUAUAGGGACAAACCCCAAAUAAAUGUAAGUAUUUGUUUAUCCAUGCUCUUGUUUUGAGAGGGAUUUCAGGGUGGUAAGCAUCUGUCUAGCAAAUAUCCUGUCUAUAGGAUGUCUGACUGUUCGCUGCCUCUCUCUUCCCUUGCUUAUCCAGAAAAGAGCCAGGCUGCCGCAGUGCUGCAGGCAUGAGAAAAUGUCCGCCGCCAGGCCCUCUGAACCCCGGGUUCAUUCAUACUUCACUCUCCCCGAUGCCUGUGUCCCAACCACGCUGCACCUCUUCGCUCUCUGACCUGCACACUCUCAUUCAGUCCCCUUUGAACUUGAAAGAUAAUACAUGUUUCUCUUUCAAGUUCAUUUCCCGACUUUAAAGAAUUAUUACCGCCUUCAAAUCUCAGGUGACUUUUUCGUUUGAACCUUUCUUUGAAGGGAAAGAAAGGGGGAGGGCUGAGGUGGAGGACAAGGAGAAGAAAAAAGAUAUGAAAAUGAAAACAGACAACCAGAUCCCCGGCGAGGAGCCAUAUUCUUCUAUAUAUCCGUUGGAAGAAAGCUAAAAUUCAGUUAAUGAAUCGGUGUCACCCUGAAAGUACCCAGAAACAGUCGGAAGUCUCCGGUAAAUUCUGUUUGCAUCUGCAUGGUCUCCUAAUAAUGUUCUGGACAAAUGAUUCAGACUACCAGCUUACUUUAGGAAUAGUCUUUUAGGAUCCAGAAGUUGCUGUAUCCCCAAAAAUAGAGAGAGAGAAUAAUUACAGUUGGGAUAAUCUAAAAUUGGAACGCUGCAACUUGGUUCUGAAGAAGCGAGGAAAGGCAAUUCUCUCUCACAAACCACACAGAUGAUGAGGAAAUGUAAUUAACUUUAAACCUGACCGCAGUUCAUGUAAGCUUAUUUUAUAUAAAGUUGCAAAGGAGAAGGAGUUAAAUCUCAUCAUCCUAUAAACACACACACACACACACACACAGGGAUAAUGCUCAAGAAGAAUGUGAACAAUGCCUCAGCCUCUUGUAGAACACAAAGCCCUACACAGGACCUGAGCUGUCCCCACCACCCCUGGGAACAGAAGCACUGGCUCUGGAUCCUUGCCAAUGACUUUAGACAAACCACUGAGCCAUUUCUACAAAAAAGAAGUUAGGGCCUCUUCGGGGGGGUUUUGAAGUGAGCCUACUUAUCGUGAAUGUCAAUCAACUUGCGUAAAGGUUUUCGGGUCUGCCGUCUGGCUCUGGCCGUGAAUGCAAUGCAGGCAGGUCAAGUGGAGUUCUGUAUCUGGCCAACCAUAUUGUGCAUGACUUGUUAUCCAGUUCACUCUCCCAGGGACGAAUAAUGGAACAUACUUAAUUGUCACCUCUUCCCAGGUCAACUAAUUUUUUAAGUCUAAAAUGGCGGAGUAGAAGAUGUCAGAAACCAUGUUUUGAGGCUGAAUGUGUAGUCCACCUAACCUAGAAGAUGGCCGAAAAUAAAAUUCUCCCUUACAAGAUCUGUCCUCCAAUGUCACAUCUGGCCGCAUGAUUUUAGCUUUACUGUAUUUCUCAUCCCCUCCACCAUCUCUGAUUCUCCCUUCUAACAAUCAUUCUUCCUCAUUCUAUCCAAGCCCACUCUUCCCUCAGCUAUCAUGUCCUCCCUCCAUGACCUGACCCAUGUCUUUGUCGAUCCUGACACAUGCUCACUUCCUUGAGAUGUCCUCCUCCUUCUCAGCUCUUGACAUCUGACCUCCCUUGGGCAUCUUUAAAGCUGCUGUCCCCACACACUUCUCCUCUAAAGUUCUGUAGGGUUCAGAGCUCACCCCACACAGCUUAGCGUAUCGUUUUCCUCUGGUGCCUUCCUGGCUGGACCUAUGAGGACGCCAGUGUCACGGUGAAGUCAGAUGCCCUUCAUUGUUCACUAGAAGGAGAAGGCUCAAUGUGUUAGCAAUCUCAGAGUUCACUGGUUAGGCGAUGAGAAGAUCUACACUGUCAUAAAAACGAACCCAUGUGCCAUCGCUACAUUCCUUACCUGAAGUGAGAUCAUAGCUACCUCCAGCUGGCUGAUUUUGUUUAAUCCUCAACUUGACUUUCUGUUGCAGCACGCUAUGCUUUUUGGCUACUGCCCACCAACCAGCCAAUUAGUAUUUGUCACCGGAAGAUAGAAUCAUUUGAACAUCCAUCAGUCAGAGCAAAUUCCAGGGGGGAAGGACAGCUCUAUCAAUGAGAAAGGCUAACCACUAAUGCCUGCAUACAAAAUAAAGCAUUCUGCAUUCCAGUGGUAAAUAUUUCCGCCUUAUGCUACCCACUGUGUACGUUAACAUGGCAUACACAUCUGAGUAGGAGGACUUCUCUAGGCCAGGGUAGUUUGCAAACGACAUUCAUAUGGACUCUUAAUGCUGCUGGACCCGAGAGUAGUUCACAGGGUGUGGACAUUCAUGCUAAAUAAGGGGAAAGGGAGGCUUAAGGAAGAUUUCAUACCCCGCACCUGGAAGGAGGAGUUCAGACAACUUGGCAGAAGUCCUAGAUUGAGAUGAGAUUCUGACAACACAUCCAAGGGGAAAGGAUGAAACAAAAGGUCAGAAUGGGAGAAGAAUAGUAGGAAGGCACUGUGGCCAAGAGGGGGAAGAGGAUGGAGCAAGGAAACGCUUCCUGAUACUAAGCGAGGGGAAGCAGCAACUGUACAGCUAAUUAAAGAGCAGAGCCAUCUGCCAAGGCAGGCCAUCUUGGGAACUUCCAGAGGUGGGGUGACGCAGUAGCUGGACAUCGGUCUCAGGGGUCCCCUUAGGUCAGCAAAGGGAGGAGGAGACAGUACUAAACCUUAACCAGCACAGCCGAUGUGUGAUUCAGAGUUUCAGUUUGAGGAAAAUUCACAUGGCUAUGUAAUAGCUACUACUAGUCAUUAACACCUACAGUGUAAGUAAAACGUCAAAUACUUGAGAGUGAUGGGGCCCCGCCGAAAUACUGUUUGGUGGGAAAAGUGUGCAGAAGUGUGUGCUGCUUCUCUUCCCCUAGAAAUAAUCUGUUGGGGGUGGAUCUAUUUCAACCAUACACAAAAGGCUAUGAGAUCACGGAGUGUUCACUCAAUACGUAUUAGUAUUAGCUGUUGUUUAUGAUUUGGGCUCUUGACUGUCCUCCACUCCUCUGAAUGCAGAGCCACGUGAUUCAUGGGGCAUUUCAAGGGAUGAUUAUGGAAGUCUUUGUGGGAUCUGGACACCCUGGAAGCCAAGUGUCUGGGGUGGGGUUAAAAAGAAGAUUUACUCAGAGCCUGUAACUCGACCUAGUAACUAGGUUGUGGGGACAAGGGAAGGCAUGACAAGCUAGAGGCAUAGAAUGUUAGAGGGAGCAGCUAUUCUGAAAACUGAAGUGGUGUCAGUCUGGACUGGAGCCAGGGAGGAUGGGCCUGGGUUUCUGAACUGCACUGACAUAUUAAACAGAUGUUUUCGGUAACCGUGCAACAUAAAGGAUUUCUCCAUGACAGUUGCAUAUGUGGUUAUCACGGCACCUUGUCCACGUUGUCCCCCCACCCCCAUCACCCUCCCUCAGAUCUGCUGGAUGUGGGCUCAGAACAAAUUCACUGGCAGGGCAAGCCCCACCUUGUUUCCAUUUUAGCCUGGGAAAGGAAUGUGGGUUCCUUCCUAGGGAAGGGAUCAGUCUUCACUCUCCUUCCCUAUGGGAAACUUCAACAGGCUUCUGUGGCUCCCUGGGCCCGUCCUCCCUGCCCAGAUCAGAUGGAGAAAUGGAAGCAUUCCAUCCUUGUAUUUUCAGGGCUGGUCCUUUUGAGCCGACAUUAUCCAAUACAGCACAUCCUGGUGUUGGUGUAUGGAGCCCUGGCAAUUACAUUUCCUGGUUGACUUCUGAUAGCCUCUGGGUUAGUGAGACAGACACCCCGUUUUGGCUCCAAUGUUUGAUGCUUAGACUCUCCUUUAAGGGAGGUAUGGUCUAUUUUUUCCCCCUCAAUGAUAGACACAGCACUGAGAUGCUUUUCUUCAGACUGUGCAUCUUAUAACAACUCCAAAUCCUCCCUGAGGUUUGCACUGACCAUGGAAUGUGAGGGAAAAUCGCCCUAUGCAACUUGUUGCCUAUGAGCAGAUCUUACGUAGCUUAUGAAAGGCACUUUCUUAUUGUCCUCCCUUUUCUUGUGCGGAUCCAGCACAAGACCAAGGUACAGUACUGACCAAAGGUCUGAAUUCAGAGUCUGUCCCCUCAGCCCACUGCAGAAUGUCCUGGGUGGGUCUGAGCCCAGCCUAAGGAUGCUUCUGUCUGGGCAUUAAGUCAACCAAGGCAUGUUCAGGUGAGUGAGGUCUGAGCUUCCUCUGUGAGUGUAGAUGAGCUCCAACCGGCCUCUGUUGCAGCCUUGCCAGGUGGUGAGCUAAGCUACUCGGCACAGACCUCAUUGAGUUGGAGUUUUUACCACCCUAACACGUGACUGACUCAUGUCUACAUAUGUUCAUUUAGGCUGGGUGUUGUCUGAUGUAAGCAGAUGGGAAGAACUGACUUCACAAAGUGUGUCUUCCUGAGGGGAAACUCCCUAGUUACCUGGGUGUUUCUUACUCAUAUUAACAUACCCUUGGAAAUCACAGGUCUGGCCUGUCUGGACGGUGACUGACCAUAAAUCCAAGGUGUUAAGAUAUCACUUUUUCCUAUUCUGCAAGCACAGAACUGCUUAGGGGAAGUUUCCACAGGAAGGUAGUCAUAGCCCAGCCAGGCAGACAGUCCUUCCCAAUUCUUCAAUUUAUAAAGGCUACCUAGCUAGUGAGCUCCCAGAACUCCACAUCCAUAGGUCUAUGGGAGCCCCAGUCUCUGAACAUCCUUAGGCACCCCUGAACCCCCUGGCACCCGGAGGGACUUCCUGAUCCCACUGUGGAGGGAGGACUCUCUGAUCUGGAGGCUUGCCCAUUUCAGAACAGGCUUUGCAUGGUCCAAUAAAGGCUGCAGACUGGUUACAAAUAGAUGUCCUUGAACCCUCCUCCCCCGGGAGGUCUCCCAGAUGGCUCGAAACAUCAUCAGGGUUGGACCGUUUAAUCUAGUAGCCAGAACAUUUGCAAAGACUGAAGACGUGCAGUCUGAAUUCACAGAAAUACAAGGAGCUGAGAACAAUGGGUCUUCAGGAAAGGAUGCAGUUUCUUGGCAUUCUGAGAACUGGAUCAGCCAUGAGAGAGAUUUGUGCUCCAGGAACAACUGUGGGUUCCUACGCUCACAAGCUAAGAGCUCUAGAAGAAGCCCUCAGUUUGUGCAGUAGAAUCUGUUACCAGAGUCGAGCUUCCGGAAGGGCCUACAGGGGGCGCUCUAACCACAAGCACGCCACAGGAUCUUAACCAGUGGUCACUAAUUCAGUUGCACAUUGGACUCUCCUGGGCAUCCAGGACACAGGCGAGGUUAGGCCACGUGCUCCGUUCCCAUUGGUUCUGGCUUUGGAAGAGAGCUGAGGGCAGGAAGUAGUCGGAGAGCGGGAGAGGAAGUCAGGUAGGGAGAUGGAGGGAGCAAGCAAGAACUGAGUGGAAGAAAGAGCCACAGCUUGGAAACUUGACCACGGCCCCAAGGACCUUUCUGGCUCGUUUAACCUGUCCAGGCACAGUGGACAGUGGCACACUGCCACUCCUUGUUCAAAGCAGCGAACUCACAGAUAUUUCUGACUCUCCUUGAUCAUUUCCCCCAUUUUUGUGAGUGAGAAUCACUGGUUCUCUGACUACCCCACCCCGCCCCAUUCCUGCCCUCUUGACUCCCGCUCUAGAGUCCAUGUAUAGAUGGGGUUUCUCCCUUGCGAGCGUGUGGGUGCUACUCAUGGUAUCCCCACUCCCCGCUUUGCUUCUUCCUUGUCAGGUAGCCUGCUAGGACACCUUCUGGCUUUGAAAGGAGCACGGUACGCUGCAGAGAGACAUCAGGCUUCCGGAGGCACGGCGGUUUGCGUGCCCAGCUAAACCGGCAUUUGGCUGAUGUUUUACCCGCCAGGCUCCAGCCUCUGUCUCAGCUAGAACUCCCAUGCUUACAACUGCUUGGCAGACAAUCCCAGACAUGAAUCAGCCGCGCAUAACUGAGCUCUCCCUGUUCUCUGUGGUUUUCCAUCCCAGCGUGUGCCCUCUGGUUAUUUUCUGUGUCGUUCUGUAGUGUUCACAGACCCACAAGCUCUCAGUUAUUCGCCCCACGUCACCUUUGUUUUCUACUCUUUGCUGAAGUGUACUCGGCUUUUCUCCCAGUUUCCCAGUGGGAUUUAGUAUUUCUUCUUCCACAUUCUGUAUUUUCUACUGUUGUUCCCGAGGCUUAAUUUGGAACAGAAAGGUUUGUUUCUCUUUUGUGGCUAACUCUUCUCCGGUACAUCUGAGGUAUGCUGCUGUGUGCUUGCCUUGUGUGCUCCUCUGAUUUCCUUACGUGUUUUGUCACAACUAGGAAAAGUUCUUCUGAGCCCCUUGAAUUUAGUUUGUAGCCCAAGUUAGGCCUAAAUUUUCAAUCAUUUUACCUCAGCCUCCAGAGAAUGUGUGAGAUUACAACCUGUACUAGAUGGAUGCUGGGAUUGGAAACAACUAGAUGCAAAUUAAAUUAGCCCAAACGCCAGGUAUGCCUGGGGUCCCUUUCUCUGCUGCGUUUCCUUCUAGAGCAAAGAGUAUCUCUCACCUUGAAGCAGUUUUGUUUUGUUUAUGUAAGUUAAUUUCCUCCUUAGACAGAGGGAUUUCAUGUGUCUGUCUUUUUUUCUUCCUUCCUUUCUUUCUAUUUCUAUUUCUUUUCUUUUUUUAAAGAACAGCCACACAGAUAAAGGAAACUCUGUUAUAAAUGCAGGAGAUUCGAAUAUUCUCCAAACUCUUGAAGUUGUAGCUUCACUUCUCUUGGAUACAUUCGCAGUGAACCUCUUCAGUAAGAUAUGUGACCAGAAGAAAUGAUAAACCCUAUUAGGAAACUAGAAGAAAACCCAAGAACACUCCGCAAAGGGUAAAAGACAAAGGGAGCUUCCUGGCUGCCAGAUGGUGAACAGAGCCCCUCUACGGUGCCCUUUCUGCAUGACGCGCUGCCUCACUGUGGCCCAGAAACACAGAACCAGCCAACGAAAGAUUGAAAUCAGAGCCCAAACACAUUUUUCCUCUUUAAACUGUGUCUCUCAAGUGUCGCAGCAAAUAAAAAGUCUGGCUAGUACAUCAAGUAAAUCAAAUCUCAGCCCUGGUGUGGUCUUAGGUGAUUAAAUCUAUUCAGGAAUCGAGGGGUUCAUCUAGGUCUUCCAUGAACCAAGCGGUGUGCUGACAGAGGGUAGGAAGACGAAGGUGUUGGCUUCUGCCUAGGAUUGCAGUCCAGGAAGCAUGGACAGACAAGUAUACAGGCAACUGUAACACAGACAGACUUUCUCUGGCUCUACAAUGGAUGUAAAAACAUUUGGCUGUGUGUGGUCGUAUAUGCUUGUAACUACAGCACUCUAAGAGGCUAAAGCAGAAACGUCACGAGUGGGUGGCAGACCUAGCCUCAAAAAACUAAACAAGAAAGAAUGUUCUCACUGAGCAGGUAAGAACCAGAUUUGUACAAUGGGGAAAGAGCUAUGAAAAUGUAUAUGCUUUGUUCCUAUGUGUUAAUAAUACAUACUUUUUUUUCUUUUUUCAUUUUUUUUGGAGCUGGGGACCGAACCCAGGGCCUUGCGCUUGCUAGGCAAGCGCUCUACCACUGAGCUAAAUCCCCAACCCCAUACAUACAUGUUUUAAAUGUGUAAAAGUGGUAGGUAAACACAGACACAGAAACCCUAGGCAAGGAACAAGGAUGUUCAAAGAUCUUGGUAAUGGUAAUAUUUUAUAUUGGUAUCGGGUUUUACACUCCAUAAGAGUUAUACCUCUCUUAUUUCAUUUUGAUUUCCAUGUCAACCUUGUGGACUGGUUAAGCUCUUUUAUAGACAGAGGGGCCAAGUUUCAGCAAAGCUGGGUGUCUCCUGUGUGGUCACAGAGAUGGCGGAUGGACACGUAUCUAGCUUUUCUGAGUUCUCCAUGCUGUGUGGUGCGAAUGAAGUGAUAUCUUGGCAGAAGUCUAAAAUUACUAGAAUCACAACCAGGGUGAUAAUUUAUCAUCUACCCUUUGGCUCAAAAUGAUUUCAUAAAUGCUGGCAGACUGGGUUGGGGUAAGAAAUUUGGAUUUUAACUCUAACUAGAUCACUCACUCAUUGGAACUCAGAAAAGCUAGAACAUUCUCCUCCUUUUUCCAAGGUUAAUUUCUACAUACCCUUUCAGUUUCACCUUGAUUUUUGUUUGACACCAAAAUCUUUAUCUCCCCCAACCACUCCUCUUUCUCCUCUUUGCAUUUACAUACCAGUCUUGCCCAGAACCAGGGCCUCUUUCUUGCCCUCCAUAUUCCUUCUUUCCUUUCUCCCUCUCUCCCUUUCUCCCUACCAGUUUCUUUCUUUUCCUUCCUUCCUUCCUCCCUCCCCCCCCUCUCUCUCUCUCUCUCUCUCUCUCUCUCUCUCUCACUUUUAUCUUUUUUACAGGCUGUCCACCCUCCCAUAGUUCCUCAUCCCAUUCCUCCUACUUGUCUCCAAGAGGAUGUGCCCAUCCCACCCUAUUGAAGGCUUUGCACCUUGUGCCUAACUCACCUGAUUGGAGGCUCAGUGCUGGUGGGGCAGACAGUUUGUUUUCUCUAGUUUCUUCCUGAGUCUCAUCCCUGGCAUGGAGGGGAUGACCACCAAACCCCCAAGCCUCAGAAGCGAAGCUUCUACCAGAAUGCCCACUUGGCUUAGUAUGUUCAUAGAAGAUUUAAACAGUAUGAGUUCAGGAGUCACUCCAAGAAGAAGGUUUUCCUGGCCAUUUUUUAUUAAAAAUGACCCUGUAGGCCUCCAGGAUAUAAAACCAGCUAGCUGCCAGUAUGAUAUUCUGUAGUUUCUAUGCUAUCACGCUUUAGUGUUUGGGAAAGGUUCAAGUGAAGAGAUUUUGAUUAAUUGUGACCUACCUAUGAACUGGUCCUCAACUGUUUGUAGGCACAGUGUGUGAAUGUUGGGGCUUACGCUUCAUGGGUCAUCUUUGGAGGAGAUCUCUGGAAUGGCUAGAAUUGCCGAAUCUGUGUUUUUAUGCUUAUACUAACAUAAGUCAUCUGUUUAAAAAUUGUGUUUUAGAAAAGUAGCAAUCCCAUUUUAAAAGUUUUGAUACAACCCAGGAGACAAACACUAAGGACUUGCUCUAUAGCAGAAUGCUCCUUUCUUAGCCCAUGCAUAAGAUUUGAACAUUGGAGGUCACUGGUCAGCCUUAGCCAUAGACUAGAAAGGAGUCUGGAGCAGCUACCGAAUGAAGUGCAGAAGUGAACCUCUGUGGUGGAAAAGAUGGAGGCGGGGAUAUAACUGGCAAGCCAAGUUCUAUGAAGCUGUUAACAAGAUGGCAAGUUUUAAGCAAAGCCCAUCUACUUACAGGCUCCCAGCGACAGAGACUCAUCUGUGGAUGGUGUUAUACAGGGGAAGCUUUCUCUAAAGGAGCAGGUCUUGCUGGUUGGGUAGGUGAUGAGAGAAAGCAGAGAUCCUCUGCUUGUGGGAAAGGAGUAAUUUUCCUGUUUAUACUUUAAUUUUUGUUUGUUUGUUUUGGCUUUUCAAGACAGGGUUUCUUUCUGUAGCCCUGGCUGUCCUGGAACUCACUGUGUAGACCAGGCUGGCCUCAGAGAUCCACCUGCCUCUGCCUCCGGAGUGCUGGGAUUAAAGGUGUACACCGCCAUGCUUAGCUGUUGGUCUGUUUUUAACAGUGCUGGAGAUUGAACCUGGAGCUACAUGCAUGCAAGGAACGCACUCUACCACUCACCCACACACUAAGCUUUGUUUUCAUGUUCGUAGAGUGCCACGACGUCAGGGCUGGAGAGAUAGGUCAGCAGUUAAAAGCAUUUGUUCUUGCAGAGGACCUGGGUUCAACCCAUAUGGCGGGUCACAACCAUCCUUAACUCUAGUUCUAGGGCAUCUGGUGACCUCUUCUGACCUCUGCCAGCAACAGGGACACACAUGGUGCCCAGACAUACAUUUGAGUGAAAUAAAUAAAUCUGAAAAAGAAAUUACCACGAAGUUAAUGAACUUUUUUAUUUGGAGGGGCCCUCAAUUCACUCUUGCCCAAACCUUUAUUUGACAGAUGAGGGCCAAGGGCUCACAGAUUUGCUUGAGGUCAUCUGCAGAUAGUGGAGAAGAGGAAUGGAUGGGCUAUAUGAACUCAUCUCCUUGGUUUGAUUAACAACACUUCAGGAACUUCAUCUGCUUUUACUCUGGGGCCAUCUUGUCAGCAGAGAAACAGGGUGAGCAGAAAUGUUCUGGGGAAAGCCAUGAAGCAUUCCAAACUGUGCUCCUCGGCAGAUGGUCAGCUGACAGAUUCAGCUUGGGAAUAAUUCCAGUGAGCAUGAAUGAAACAUCGACAAAUAAGAUAACUCAGGGUCUGGGCAAGUAAUCUCCCCAAUUCUCCUGGGCUUUGCGUUGGAAAAGUGCAGUCUGCUCUGGAAUUCAGGAACAACACAAACAGUACUGGGUAGAACUCCCCAAGUGACCUCAGCCCACACCCUCAGGCUUGUCACAGUCCCAGGUGCUGGCUUGCCCACAUGUGUCUGAUACAGAAAAACACAGGGGGAAAGUUUUCCAAAAGUACACAGUAAGCAAAAUACAUCUUCCUGCAUUCUCUGUCGAGGGAGCUGGAAAGCAGGUGAUGAGUUCAUGGACAUGGGUCACCCAGCAAGAUAAAUAAACUCUGUUUAUGGAGGCAGGAAGGGCCGUUGAGGAAGCAGACAAGGGUUUGGCUAGGAAAUGGGCUCUGGAGAGGACACAGUUACCUUCCUCAUUCCCGAGACCAACUAGAGAGGACAACUUAAGGGAGAAAGGGUUUACUUUGGCUCAUUGUGCAGCCUGUGGCUGCUUGGCCCCAUGGUUGCAGACAGGUCACCAUGGCAACAGGGUCAAGUGAUGGAGGCCUCUUGGUGAAUAGCAUGUGGAGGAAAGGACAUAAAGACGGAGGCCAGGGGAGGAUUCCAUCUCAUUAAGCUACUUUCUCCAAAGGCCUCAUUUAUUUUCACCAGCUUCUAGCAAUGCCGUCAUAUUAGAACUCUAUCAAGGGAUUAGCCCUGACUGGGCCACAGCUCUCAUGAUCUGUCUCCGGAAAUGCCCAGACAGAGCUGCUUUAUUAACCUCCUAGGUGUUUUCUAAUCCAGUUAAGUAGGCGGGCAAGAAUAAUCUUCACACCAUCCCUGGACUGACCCCCCCAUAAGGAUAAGGUUCACUCUUAACAGUAGAGAACCAGACAAGCAUUUUCUAAUUGGCAGGUCCAUCCAGAGAUCGAUUGACCAAGAUGCCAGCCUCCUCUCCAUGACAGAAGUGUGCAGUUGGAUUCUGAGCCAACUCCUCACAGAGCUGGUAGUAGUUCCAUUGGGAACGAGGGUUCAGCAACUGCAAAUGAAGAUCUGCCUGGGGGAGAUUACUUUUAGAGCCUCAGUGGCUCUCAUUUCCAUUCAAAGCUACUCCUUCAACAUCGCUCCCCUCCAGCUACCUCCCGGUGGCAGGGAAACCACUGACAUAUCUUUCAAUGAUUUCCUUCCUUCCUGUGUGUGUGAAUGCUUUAACUGCAACUUGACAAAUUAUAGUUGCAUGUACUUAAUGGGAUAAAUGUGGGAUUAUAAUUUAUGAGUUAAACCAAGCCAAGCCAAUGAGCAUUUUUAUCACCUCGAAUUCUUAUCCCAUCUGUCUGUCCGUCUUUCCAUCUGUCUGUCUAUCUGCCUGUCUGUCUAUCUAUCUACCAUCUGUCUGUCUAUCUAUCUAUCUAUCUAUCUAUCUAUCUAUCUAUCUAUCUAUCUAUCUAUCAUCUAUCUAUAUAUUGUCUACCUCUCUAUUUACCUUUAUUUAUCCAUCUAUCAUCUAUCAGAUAGAUAUAUCUAUCCAUCAUUAUAUCAUAUCCGUCUAUCAUCUAUCUACCUACCUAUCUAUCUAUCCAUCCAUCCAUCCAUCUAUUGUGGUGAGGAGAUUUGAAGUCUAGUCUCGUCCUAAUGAUAAAGUAUACAAUAUAUCCAUCAUAUUGCACAACUCGCUAAGGUGAAUCACUUCUGUUUAAUUGAGCUUCUGUGCCCUUGAGCUGCCUUCGUCCCUUUCCACGGCAUCCCCACCUGGCCCCAGGUUCCACUGUUCUUUGCACUCUGCUUCUUUGGUUUUGAUUGCUUUGGAUCCUGCAUGGAACUGAUAACAUGCCAUAUUUUUCUGUGCUUGGCUUAUUUCACUCACCACAGUGGUCUAUAAUUCUAUACAUGCUAUUAAAGAUAGCAAUUUUCUUUCCCUUUAAAGCCUGAAUGCUAUUCUUUCUGCCUAUCUAUCUAUCUAUCUAUCUAUCUAUCUAUCUAUCUAUCUAUCUAUCUAUCCAUCCAUCCAUCCAUCCAUCCAUCCAUCCAUCCAUCCAUCCAUCCAUCUAUCUAUCUAUCUAUCUAUCUAUCUAUCUAUCUGGUGUAUUGUAUAUGUUUAGGUCUUAUCUGUCUGUCUGUCUAUCUAUCUAUCUAUCUAUCUAUCUAUCUAUCUAUCUAUCCAUCCAUCCAUCCAUC